rfam:Camelus ferus unplaced genomic scaffold scaffold1390, whole genome shotgun sequence.
AAGGGUAUAGCUCAGUGGUAGAGUGCCUGCCCAGCAUGCACAAGAUUCUGGGUUCAAUCCCCAGUACCUCUG